CUGAAUAGCCAAGACAAUCCUGAGAAAGAUCAAAGCUGGAGGGAUCACAUGUCCUGAUUUCAAACUAUACUACACAAAGCUAUGAUCACAAAUAUGGUACCA